AAGUCCUUCGGGAUGGAAGACGGUAUUCUAGCGGCGGACGGGUGAGUAACGCGUGAACAAUCUGUCCCAGACAGGGGGAUAACAGAUGGAAACAUCUGCUAAUACCGCAUAAGACCACGGGAUCGCAUGGCCCUGAGGUAAAAGGAGCAAUCCGGUCUGGGGUGAGUUCGCGUCCGAUUAGCUGGUUGGCGAGGUAACGGCCCACCAAGGCGACGAUCAGUAGCCGGUCUGAGAGGAUGAACGGCCACAUUGGGACUGAGACACGGCCCAAACUCC
rnacentral:rRNA from 1 species